CGGAGCUUGCUCCGGUGAAAGUGGCGCACGGGUGAGUAACGCGUGGAUAAUCUGCCCUGGUAUCUGGGAUAACAUCUCGAAGGGGGUGCUAAUACCGGAUAAGCCUACGGUCUCUUCGGAUUCUGCAGGAAAAGGAGGCCUCUAUUUAUAAGCUUCCGUAUCAUGAUGGGUCCGCGUACCAUUAGCUAGUUGGUGGGGUAAUGGCCUACCAAGGCGACGAUGGUUAGCUGGUCUGAGAGGAUGAUCAGCCACACUGGAACUGAGACACGGUCCAGACUCCUACGGGAGGCAGCAGUGGGGAAUUUUGCGCAAUGGGGGAAACCCUGACGCAGCAACGCCGCGUGAGUGAUGAAGGCUUUCGGGUCGUAAAGCUCUGUCAGAGGGGAAGAAAUGAGUCUGGCUAAUAUCCAGAUUUCUUGACGGUACCCUCAAAGGAAGCACCGGCUAACUCCGUGCCAGCAGCCGCGGUAAUAC
rnacentral:rRNA from 2 species